rnacentral:rRNA from 1 species
AGCGAACGCUGGCGGCAGGCCUAACACAUGCAAGUCGAACGAACCUUUCGGGGUUAGUGGCGGACGGGUGAGUAACACGUGGGAACGUGCCUUUAGGUUCGGAAUAACUCAGGGAAACUUGUGCUAAUACCGAAUGUGCCCUUCGGGGGAAAGAUUAAUCGCCUUUAGAGCGGCCCGCGUCGGAUUAGCUAGUUGGUUGAGGUAAUGGCUCACCAAGGCGACGAUCAGUAGCUGGUCUGAGAGGAUGAUCAGCCACAUUGGGACUGAGACACGGCCCAAACUCCUACGGGAGGCAGCAGUGGGGAAUCUUGCGCAAUGGGCGAAAGCCUGACGCAGCCAUGCCGCGUGAAUGAUGAAGGUCUGAGGAUUGUAAAAUUCUUUCACCGGGGACGAUAAUGACGGUACCCGAAGAAGAAGCCCCGGCUAACUUCGUG